rnacentral:rRNA from 1 species
GGCUCAGAUUGAACGCUGGCGGCAUGCUUUACACAUGCAAGUCGAACGGUAACGAGGGUGCUUGCACCGCUGACGAGUGGCGAACGGGUGAGUAAUGCGUCGGAACGUGCCGAGUAGGUGGGGGAUAACGCAGCGAAAGUUGUGCUAAUACCGCAUACUUACUGAGGUAGAAAGUGGGGGACCUUCGGGGCCUCACGCUAUUCGAGCGGCCGACGUCUGAUUAGCUAGUAGGUGAGGUAAAGGCUCACCUAGGCGACGAUCAGUAGCGGGUCUGAGAGGAUGAUCCGCCACACUGGGACUGAGACACGGCCCAGACUCCUACGGGAGGCAGCAGUGGGGAAUUUUGGACAAUGGGCGAAAGCCUGAUCCAGCCAUGCCGCGUGUCUGAAGAAGGCCUUCGGGUUGUAAAGGACUUUUGUCAGGGAGGAAAUCCCUAGUGCUAAUAACACUGGGGGAUGACAGUACCUGAAGAAUAAGCACCGGCUAACUACGUG